UGAACCAGACACUUCAUUUAGGGGUAUGGAUAUGAAAGAGAACAGUGGUGUUAGGCUCUGCUUGUCUCUAACCCCAGCUCUACUAGGCAUGUGGCAAAGAAGCUGACAGUUCAGGGGUUGUACCAGAACAGAGCCAAUGAACACAGGUUGGACAUCUGCAGGGAAGCCUCACCCUGAAGGUGGUGGUGUAGGAGGCUGUGGUAGGUGAUUACUUCAGGGUGGAGCCCUCAUCAAGGGGAUUAGUGCCUUUCUGAAAGACAGGCCAGGGAGCAUCCACUGCAUCCCAGCAUGUGAGGACGCAGCAGGCAGAGGCCAUCUGUGCCAGGAGGAGUACUUGCUGCAGACACCAAGUCUAUUGCUCCCUUUGCUAUUGGGCUUUCUAGCUUCCAGAAUAGCCAGGGAUAAUGCUCUUGUUGGCAUGGUGUUCAGAGUGUGGAAUCUGUUCUCAUGGCCCCAAAUGAGGAAGGGGGUGCAAUGGGGAGGUUUGGUGCCCACCAGAGAGCGGCCCUUGCCAGCCUGGCCCUGUGUGGGAAGAGGUGCCCUGGCACCCUCUAGUGAAGGCUGCUGGUUACUGUGACUCAUCCACAAGGACAUUCAUGCCACCCUUCCCAGGAAGAGGAGCGGCCUGCUGAGUAAACAGACCUGGAGGCAGCAGGGAUCCCCGCCAGCACUUGGAGCAUGACUCUGCCUUCCUUUUGUGUGUGAGAACAGGUAGCCAACGAUGACAACCACACGAUGGAAGGGCCAACCAGAACAAACACUGCUCCUGGAGGAAAUGGGUUUGUGAGUCGAAAUUAUCAUCUCAGAGACUUCGGCGGGGAUACUGUAUCCACAAAACCAGAGCAGAAGCUGGGGAAAGGAGAUAGCAGAGAAGGCUGAAUAAAGGAAGGUACUGCUGUCAACAUUAAAAUACUGAGGGGAAGAUGAGAAAUUCAUGCAACACAGUUCCCCAGAAAGAAGAUCCAGAUACAAUUCCCAGCAUGCACACGGUGAGUCACAACUACCUGCGACUCCAGUUCCAGGGGAUCUGAAGCCUUCUUUUGAUUUCCUCAGGUUGGUGCCCAGUCCGAUUGUCAUCAGAGAGGCUUCCUCCUGUAGCUGACGAGAGCAGAGGCAAGUAUUAUUUAGAGCUUGUUGGAACACAACAGAAGAGGGGGAGGAAGGAUUGUAGGACCCAGAGGGCUUGAGGACACCAGACAACAGGGUCCAGAGAAUCAACUAAGCAGGCCCCAGAGGUUCUCACAGAGACUGAAGCAGCAAUCAAGGAGCCUGCGUGGGUCUGUGCGAGGUCCUCUGCAUAUAUUAUGGUUUUUAGCUUGAUGUUCUUGUGCGACUCCUUUCCUGGUGCUACAGAGUUACAAGGGUGAAAAGAAAGCAUGCCUGCUUUAAGCUGUGAGGUUCUGCAGAGCUGCACACCAAAUAAUCACCAACACAAAGCUUCACACAUCAAAAGACUAAUGACACCAAAUGCCACUAAGCAUUUGGAGUUUCAGAAACUGAGAACACUGCUAGUAGUAUAGUCAUCUUGGACGAUGAUAGUGCAAUGUCGUCCCCCCCCCCAUGAAAGAUGUAACCAUUAGCCUCUGAUGUUACAUUUCUACUAGUGUGUGCAUUGCAGAUGAAUACAGAAGAGAUAUUCUUAGCAGCAUUCUCAGAGCCUGUGGUGGUUCAAAUGAGAAGGGCCCCCAUAGGCUCGUAUGUUUGGAUAUGUGUUUCCUGUUUGGGAAUAAUUAGGGGGUGUGGCCUUGUAGGAGGUGUGUCAUCGGGGGUGGGCUUUGAUAUUCCAGCCUUUGAUGUUCCAGCUAGAUCUCUCUCUCUCUCUCUCUCUCUCUCUUCACCUCCCCCUCUUUCUCCCU